rnacentral:tRNA from 1 species
GGGGCUGUAGCUCAGUUGGGAGAGCAUCUGAUUUGCAUUCAGAGGGUCGCAGGUUCAACUCCUGUCAGCUCCACCA